rnacentral:rRNA from 1 species
GACAGAGGAUGCAAGCGUUUAUCCGGAAUUAUUGGGCGUAAAGAGCUCGUAGGCGGUUUGUCGCGUCUGCUGUGAAAACCCGAGGCUCAACCUCGGGCCUGCAGUGGGUACGGGCAGACUAGAGUGGCGGUAGGGGAGAUUGGAAUUCCUGGUGUAGCGGUGGAAUGCGCAGAUAUCAGGAGGAACACCAAUGGCGAAGGCAGAUCUCUGGGCCGUAACUGACGCUGAGGAGCGAAAGCAUGGGGAGCGAACAGG